rnacentral:rRNA from 1 species
UACGUAGGGGGCAAGCGUUGUCCGGAAUCAUUGGGCGUAAAGCGCGUGUAGGCGGCUUGGUAAGUCUGCUCUGAAAGCCCGGGGCUCAACCCCGGGAGGCGGGUGGAUACUGUCAAGCUCGAGUCCGGAAGAGGAGUGUGGAAUUCCUGGUGUAGCGGUGAAAUGCGCAGAGUAUCAGGAGGAACACCAAUGGCGAAGGCGGCUACCUGGACAGAAACUGACGCUGAGGCGCGAAAGCUAGGGGAGCGAACGGG